rnacentral:misc_RNA from 1 species
CGAUGACUUAAUUUGUGAUUUAGGGUUCUAAUUCUUUAUGGGUAUUGGAAGAUCGACCCGGGAUUUUUUUUGUUUUUUGUUGAAGGAUGUAGCUGAAUAAGACAGUUGUUUGCUGCAUAAUUUUUAGAUAUUUGUUGUUGUUGUUGGGUCUUGCCUCAUUGUGGGGUUUCGAUUGAAAAUUGAAUUGUUUAACGAUAUUUUGGUGUGAAAGUAUUGUUCUUGGCGAAAAAGGUGAUUAUUGCUGUGGAAGUAUUGUUUUUGGUGAAUUUGAAGAGGGUGAUUGAAUCACCAUGGAUCAUGUCGUGGGUGGGAAGUUUAAGCUGG